UACGUAGGGUGCGAGCGUUGUCCGGAAUUAUUGGGCGUAAAGAGCUCGUAGGCGGUCUGUCGCGUCGGUCGUGAAAACUUGGGGGCUUAACCCUGAGCUUGCGGUCGAUACGGGCAUGACUGGAGUUCGGUAGGGGAGACUGGAAUUCCUGGUGUAGCGGUGAAAUGCGCAGAUAUCAGGAGGAACACCGGUGGCGAAGGCGGGUCUCUGGGCCGAUACUGACGCUGAGGAGCGAAAGCGUGGGGAGCGAACAGG
rnacentral:rRNA from 1 species